rnacentral:rRNA from 1 species
GUAAAGAGCGGCGGACGGGUGAGUAACGCGUGGGUAACCUACCCUGUACACACGGAUAACAUACCGAAAGGUAUGCUAAUACGGGAUAAUAUAUUUGAGAGGCAUCUCUUGAAUAUCAAAGGUGAGCCAGUACAGGAUGGACCCGCGUCUGAUUAGCUAGUUGGUAAGGUAACGGCUUACCAAGGCGACGAUCAGUAGCCGACCUGAGAGGGUGAUCGGCCACAUUGGAACUGAGACACGGUCCAAACUCC